UACGUAGGUGGCAAGCGUUGUUCGGAAUUAUUGGGCGUAAAGGGCGCGUAGGCGGCUUGUUAAGUCGGGUGUGAAAUCUCGGGGCUUAACUCCGAAACUGCAUUCGAUACUGCCGUGCUUGAGGACUGGAGAGGAGACUGGAAUUUACGGUGUAGCGGUGAAAUGCGCAGAUAUCAGGAGGAACACCGGUGGCGAAGGCGGUUCUCUGGGCAUUACCUGACGCUGAGGAGCGAAAGUGUGGGAGCGAACAGG
rnacentral:rRNA from 1 species